rnacentral:misc_RNA from 1 species
UUUCCGUAGGUGAACCUGCGGAAGGAUCAUUAGAGAUUUUGGAUUGCCGGCGGUGGCUAGCGUGACAUUCACGUGCCCACCGGCUCUCCGCAUACCAAACAACGUGAACAACCGGUGACGGCCCUGCCGUCGCCACCUUUACAACUGUCGUCCUAUGUCUUGAAAGCAAACAAAAGAGUACAACUCUCAACGAUGGAUCUCUUGGCUCUCGCAUCGAUGAAGAACGCAGC